GUCCCAGAAAGAAGUGGGCUGACUGGGUGACCCGUACUGCACAAACUGGCUUCGUAUCUUGCACUAUGAGUGUAGGCUGACUCUUCCAGCAUAGUCUCCUUCGGGGUGGCGCUGGAUAUCCCCUCAUUUCAGCUUUUCAUGGUGCUCCUUUGCCUCAUUUUUUUAAACCAUAAUGUCUAGCCUGGUCUCAGCUCCAAGGCAAGAACAGAAAUACAGGUGGGUCACCUAGGCUGCAGCCAGACUCCAGAGCUUUGCACUACAUGAAGAAGCUCUAUAAGACAUAUGCUACCAAGGAAGGGAUUCCUAAAUCCAAUAGAAGUCACCUCUACAACACUGUUCGGCUCUUCACCCCCUGUACCCGGCACAAGCAGGCUCCUGGAGACCAGGUAACAGGAAUCCUUCCAUCAGUGGAACUGCUAUUUAACCUGGAUCGCAUUACUACCGUUGAACGCUUACUCAAGUCAGUCUUGCUGUACAAUAUCAACAACUCAGUUUCUUUUUCCUCUGCUGUCAAAUGUGUGUGCAAUCUAAUGAUAAAGGAGUCAAAGUCUUCUAGCAGGACUCUU
rnacentral:sRNA from 1 species